rnacentral:rRNA from 1 species
AAGCUUGCUUCAAUCGCCGGCGACCGGCGCACGGGUGAGUAACGCGUAUCCCACCUUCCGCUUACUCGGGGAUAGCCUUUCGAAAGAAGGAUUAAUACCCGAUGGUAUGAUGAGAUUGCAUGAUAUCAUCAUUAAAGAUUUAUCGGUAAGCGAUGGGGAUGCGUUCCAUUAGGUAGUAGGCGGGGUAACGGCCCACCUAGCCAACGAUGGAUAGGGGUUCUGAGAGGAAGGUCCCCCACAUUGGAACUGAGACACGGUCCAAACUCCUACGGGAGGCAGCAGUGAGGAAUAUUGGUCAAUGGGCGAGAGCCUGAACCAGCCAAGUAGCGUGAAGGAUGACGGCCCUACGGGUUGUAAACUUCUUUUGUGCGGGAAUAAAGGAGCCUACGUGUAGGCUUUUGCAUGUACCGUAACGAAUAAGCAUCGGCUAACUCCGUGCCAGCAGCCGCGGUAAUACGGAGGAUGCGAGCGUUAUCCGGAUUUAUUGGGUUUAAAGGGAGCGUAGACGGGUUUUUAAGUCAGCUGUGAAAGUUUGGGGCUCAACCUUAAAAUUGCAGUUGAAACUGGAGACCUUGAGUACGGUUGAGGCAGGCGGAAUUCGUGGUGUAGCGGUGAAAUGCUUAGAUAUCACGAAGAACUCCGAUUG